rnacentral:rRNA from 1 species
GUGCCAGCCGCCGCGGUAAUACCGGCAGCCCGAGUGAUGGCCGAUCUUAUUGGGCCUAAAGCGUCCGUAGCUGGCCGACCAAGUCUCCCGGGAAAUCCACCCGCCCAACGAAUGGGCGUCCGACGGAAACUGCACAGCUUGGGACCGGAAGGCUCGAGAGGUACGUCCGGGGUAGGAGUGAAAUCCCGUAAUUCCGAACGGACCACCGAUGGCGAAAGCAUCUCGAGAAAACGGAUCCGACAGUGAGGGACGAAAGCUAGGGUCUCGAACCGGAUUAGAUACCCGAGUAGUCC